CAGGAGACGAGCUGAAGUCAGAGCUCCAUCUUCCCAGGGCGACUUCUGCGGACAUGGAGCCCAGCGGAGAGCACUGCAGCUGGUGCCGAUUCGGCCCGAGACACCUCCAGGUGUCCCGGACUAGACCAGCAGGUUGUGCGUUCUUCAUGAGAGUCUGAUGAUCUGCAGGACGACACAGAGGAAGUAACACUCAGAGACCAAGAGGCUGUUUGAGCAGAACCACUCUGUUGGCUUCAGUACGAGGAUCCAAACCUGCCACGACUCCCUGACUGCCCCGACCCAGCAGCAACCUCCAGAGUUGAACCACCAAAGACUGCAGUUCCACUAACGACCACUCGAGGCUCCAAACAUCACGUGACAGAACUCACCCCGACAGGAACAUGAUCGAUAUUCUGCCUCAGUGUUUCUACAUUUAUUACUGAAUGAUUUAUUUUUAAUAUGGUUGGAACCCUUCUUGAUCACAUCGCUGCACAGCACGGCGC